rnacentral:misc_RNA from 1 species
UCUUCAGAUGAUGAUCCCAAGCCUUCUGGCGAUCUAUAAUAAGCCGUUUUUUGGCUUUAAGGAAUUAUUUGCCAUUUUAUAAGAUUAUGCCGGGGAAGGUUUUCCGGUUUAUCCCGGAGGGCUUGUAGCUCAGUUGGUUAGAGCGCGCGCUUGAUAAGCGUGAGGUCGGAGGUUCAAGUCCUCCCAGGCCCACCAAUUUAAUUAAUGCUUGAAAAAGUAUUUAUUGUGCGUGCAUAUAAAAGCAAAUGCGCGUAAGAGUGCAAAUGUGGCGUUUAUCAAUUUUGCUAAAGUGAUUUAAACUUUUUGUUAAACUUAAAGUUUUGUCCUUUAUCCUAUUUUAGGGGCCGUAGCUCAGCUGGGAGAGCACCUG